rnacentral:lncRNA from 1 species
CUGGGUGGGGGGCAGAGCAGCUCAACCAGUUCAACCAGUUCUGGUGGAGGGGAAACCAGUUACACCUGAGAAAUCAACCAGUCCAACCAGUUCCACUGGAGAAAUCAACCAGUUCAACCAGUUCAACCAGUUCAACCAGUCCAACCAGUUCCACUGGAGAAAUCAACCAGUCCAACCGGUUCAACCAGUUCAAUCAGUCCAACCAGUUCAGUACAACCAGUCCCACCAGUUCAACCAGCUCAACCAGUUCUGGUGGAGGGCUAACCCAGUUCCACCAAUUCCAUUGGAGAAACCAACCAGUUACACCAGUUCAACCAGCUCAACCAGUUCAACCAGUUCCAUUGGAGAUAUCAACCAGUCCCACCAGUCCAACCAGUCCCACCAAUCCAACCAGUCCCACCAGUCCCACCAGUCCCAACCAGUCCCACCAGUCCAACCAGUCCAACCAGUCCCACCAGCUCAACCAGUCCCACCAGUCCAACCAGUCCAACCAGUCCCACCAGUUCCCUGCUCCCCACGGGACCCCCGAGCCAUCCCCUGCAGGUGCUGCUGCUGUUGCCCCCCCAGGUACCUGUUCCAGGUGUGUCCCCACCCGAGCCGGGCACAUCCCGGGGUCGGUGACUUCAGGGAUUCUCCAAAUCCGGGUCAGUUUUGGGGCCGUUCUCCUGCAGUUCUGACACAAAAGGAGGAAGGAAGUGGGGCGGAGCUUGGGAAGGCUCCGGUGAAAGUGAAAGUGUUCAUUGAUUUUGGGAAUCAGUUUCGUUACCCUGAGGAGGUCCUUGAGGAGAGGGGAAAGAGCCCCGGCAGUGCCGGGAACGGCGGGAGGAGAGCCCGGAGUGGGGGAGAAGGUUCUGGAAGCAGGGAGAGCCUGAGCUGAGGAGAUCCCGGAGCUAAAGAGAUCCCGGAGCUGAGGAGAUCCCGGAGCUAAAGAGAGCCCGGAGCUGAGGAGAUCCCGGAGCUGAGGAGAGCCCGGAGCUGAGGAGAUCCAGAACCAGGAUGGGGAUGAACAUCAGCCGCUUUGUGGAGAUCCAGAUCUCCAACAAGACCCAGAACAUCACCCUGAAGGACCCCAGGACCCAUUUCUUCAGCGGCCACACCCUGAGUGCCCCCCGGCCCUCGGUGCCCCCGGGCUCCUCCAGCAGCUCCAAGUUCACCAACAGCUCCAUCUUGUGGGGCUGUAACGGCGUCCUGGCCUACGAGGCCGACUCCUUCACCUUGGCCAUCUACUUCUCCAACCCCAUCGACUACAACCGGUUUUCCGUGGAGAUGGGCCUGGAGAUGUCCCUGGACAAGGUCCACAAGAAGGACCUGGAGGCCACCUACCAACGCUUGGUCAGGAUCUCCCGUGACUCCUCCUCCGACGGCUCCAUGUUCCCCUGUGUCAUCCUCAAGGAAAACGAGGAUCAAGCCCAGCUGAGCCUUGGCCCCAUCACGGUGACGGCCACCGUGGCCAGGGGCAGGAGAGCCGUCAUCAGGGUGGAGGUGGAGGAUGGGGGGAACUGGGGCGGUGUUGCCGGGAUAGGGGCUCCCACUCCAGCCAGAAACGCCCAGAGGGAGUGAGAACCUGCAGGAACCUUCAGGGGAACCUUCUGGAAAACCCUGGGACGGCGAGGAUAGGCUGAGAACCCUGCAGACACCCCCAGAAACCCUUAGACACACCUAGAACACCAUGGACAUACCUAGAUCAUGGCAGACACUUUUAGAACCCCCGUAGGCACCUCUAGAACCCCACAGGCUCUUCUAGAACCCCACAGGCACCUCUAGAACCCCACAGGCACCUCUAGAACUCCAUGGACACUGCUAGAACCCCAUAGGCAACUCUAGAACCCCUAAUAACCCAUAGAGACUCCUAGCACCCCCAGAACCUUCUAGAACCUUCUAGAACCCAGUAGACACCUGUAGACGCCUCUAGGUUUACAUAGGCACCUCUAGAACCCCAUAGACACCUCUAGAACUCCAUAGACACCUCCAGAACCCCAUAGAGACCCCCCCUAGAACCUUCUAGAACCCUGUAGACACCUCUAGAACCCCACAGACAACUCUAGAACCCCAUAGACACCUCCAGAAUCCCAUAGGCACCUCUAGAACCCCGUGGGUACCUCUAGAACUCCACAGGCUCCUCUAGAACCCUGUAGGAAUGUCUUAACCCCCAGAGCUACCCUUAGAACCCCAUAGACACAGCUAGAACCUUGGUGGCACCUCUAGAACCUUGUUGGGACAUCUAGAACCCCAUAGGCUCUCCUAGAACCCAGUAAGCACACCUAGAACCCCAUAGGCCCCUCUAGAACCCUACAGGAACCCCUAGAACCCCAUAGACACUUCUAGAACCCCAUAGGCACCUUUAAUAACCCAUAGAGACCCCUGGCACCCCAUAGAAGCCUCUAGAACCCAGUAGACACCUGUAGACACCUCUAGAACCCCAUAAGCACCUCUAAUAACCCAUAGAGACCCCCUAGAACCUUCUAGAACCCAGUAGACAUCUCUAGGACCCCAUACAUGCAAUAAGAACCCAGGAGACACCUAUGAAACCUUGUAGGAGCCCCGUAGGCACCUCUAGAACCCCAUAGGAACCUCUAGAACCCCACAAACCCAUCCCAAACCCCACAGUCACCUCUAGAACCCUGGAGACCCUACCAGAACCCCAUAAAGCACAUCCAGAACCCUGGAGACACCUCUAGGACCCCAUAGAUUGUUCCAGAAUUCUGUAAGUACCUCUAGAACCUCGUGGAACCCUCUAGAACCCCAGAGGCACCUCCAGAACCUUGUAGGACCCUCUAGAACGUCAUAGACCCCUCCAGAACGUUGUAGGACGCUCCAGAACCUCACAGAACCCUCUAGAACCCCAUAGAAACCUCUAGAACCCCAUAGAAACCUCUAGAACCCCCAUAGAAACCUCCAGAACCUCAUAGAACCCUCUAGAACCCCAUAGAAACCUCCAGAACCUCGUAGGAUCCUCUAGAACCCCGUAGACACCUCCAGAACAGUGUAGAACCCUCUAGAACCCCAUGGCCCCCUCUAGAACUUCCAGAACCUUCUGGGCCCUCGUGGCCACCAGGAGAACCUCAGGGAACCUUCUGGAACCUUCAUGGCCAUCAGGAGAACCUCAGAGAACCUCAGGGAACCUUCUGGAACCUUCUGGGCCCUCAUGGCCAUCAGGAGAACCUCAGGGAACCUUCUGGAACCUUCUGGAACCCCCCCAGGUUGUCCCUCUCUGGAUUUNNNNNNNNNNNNNNNNNNNNCCUCAUGGACACCCCAGGGUUGGGGUGUCCCAGCCACCCCCAAUUUGGGGUGCCCCACCCCGACCUCCCUGGCUCCAUUUUUGCUUUGCUCAAUAAAAUGGGAAUUUUUUCCCA